rnacentral:tRNA from 1 species
UAUUAGAUGUCUGAAAUGUAAGAAUUGAUUUUUUAAAUCAUUUUAUAGUAUUUUAACGUAUACUUCUAAUAA